CAGAUUCAUGAGGUCUCCACAGCCCCUGGAGUAGCCAGAAUCUGAUACAAAUCAGUUGCCAUUCUUGUAGUCAACCCCAGCUGACUGAAGAAGAGCACGAGUAUCGGGAAGCUGCCUUAUUUUAACUAAUAUAACUAUAUGUUAUGAAUGUCUUCCUUUUCUAAAUCAGUUCCCCUUAUCUGCUGGGCAAUCCAGGCAUAAAGAAACUGUUGCAUGGCAAGAGAUUCUUUCUAGGUUAAAGGACUGUUACCAUUACUGUAGAAGAAUUCUUGCAUACCAGUGGGGGAGAAGUAUUAAGCCAUAAUUCUUAUUACACCACUUGCACGCAUUCAUUAACACCAGUGUAUCUCAUGUUUUGAAAAGGUCCUAAGAAUUCAUAAUGUUAUGCACUAUGUUAUGGACUGUAAAUAUGUAAGUCUAGUACAGGGAAGUUAUUUCUGUUUCCUGGUGACAUAAAUUAGUCAAUUUUUAAUUUUUUUUUUUUAGUAAAUUUUUCAUUCCUGUGAAGAUGGACAGAAAACAAUAUGUCUUAACAUUGAAGGUGGAAAUUUCCAGGAAGCCAAAUUCCAAGAACAUGAGGUGCAAUGGAAUGAGAGCAGCUCCACAAUUGAAGGCCUAAGAGCUUGCACACAAGGCUAACAUAUUCCUUUAACAUCCUAGCUUUUCUUCUACAUGGUCUUGGUCUUGUUGGGAUUCAGCCACCUUACAGUCCUCUAUUCAUACUUUGCUGGGAAAGCUGCCUGAACUAAACAGCUCAAAUGUAUUGGACACACUCAGAUGUGUGGGAGACAUGAACUGCAGUUCUUCAUCAUUAUGAUGCUAUAAAAAACCUUAACGAGUAAGAAAUAUGGUGCUGUCAUCCGAAGUUGGGCCUGACCUUGAAGAUUUUCAUGCUUGUUGAAUUCAAUAUACCAUACUGCAUUAAUAGUUUAAGUUUUAGAAAGUUAUCUAUCAUAACCAAUAUUUGGAAGAGGAAACAAGCUCUUGUGCUUCAGCUCUGAAUGUCACCCAGCUUUAUAUACUGAGCAUUACAUCCUAUGGUAUGGAAUGUCCCUUUGGACAUUUGGGAUCAGCUCUCCCAGCUGUGUCUCCUCCUAACUUCUUGUGCACCCCCAGCCUGCUCACUGAUGGGAUGGUGUGAGAAGCAGAAAAGGCCUUGACUCCAUGUAAGCAGUGCUCAGCAGUAACUAAAACAUCUCUGUGUUAUCAACAUUAUUUUCAACCCAAAUCCAAAACAUAGCCCCAUACUAGCUACUAUGAAGAAAAUUAACUCUAUCUCAGUCAAAACCAGCACACACUGUAAGCUUUGCAUCUCAAUGAUAUAAUUAAGGAUAAGGGUGAACAAGAUGACAACAGUGGCUCGAAGCUGAGAACAUGAGGUUUCAUCAGACCUCCAGAAGGUAGACUGCUGACCAGAAAGUCUGCUGGUCUCAUCUGGCAGAUGCAGGAAUUGAUGGAGUUCCUUAUCCUCUCAAGACAGCUCCCAAAUAUGAACCUUCUCCUCUACAGAGGAGGUAGCACCCAGACUGGUGUAAAUACUUCGUCCAAGGGGAGGAAAUGAAUUUAAAUUGGAGUCCCUAGAAGAAGAUCAUCUGAAAACAGGCUUCUCUUUUACAAGACUGUGUUAUAUUUGGGUAUUUGCCAGGACAGAACAAUUUGGGAGUCUCAGAGAAACUGUGAAUGAAUUAGUGAAAUAUCAAAAUAUUUGUUUAUUGAAAUUAUGCAAAGAAACUUCCCUCCUACUUUCCUACUUUCUUGUAUCUGAAAAAGAGUAUUUUGGGGAAAAAAGACAGCAAACUUUUUAUUACUGUUAAUUUUUAACAAUUGUCCACAUCUAUCAUAAUUCUUCCAAUGGUUUGACUUUAAAUUCCAGUUAGGAGCAAAAAAAACAGAUAGUGGAAGUCAGAAGUCCUGGUGUAAGUCCAAGGUGAAAGACUCUACUUAACAAAAGUCUAUCCUAGAUUUAGAUUAUAGACAGAGUAGAAGUACAACCAUUCAGAGAGCUCACAGUAGUAUUUUAUUAUUAAGUGAUCAAUGGCAAGGGUUAAAAGGGUACCAUUCAUCUUUGAAAAAGUAGACCAACAUUUCUUAACUAUAAGCAGAAAGAUACAAAUCACAGCAAGUUAUUAUUCUUUUGCUUUUGGAUAAAGUACAAUCUAACUAACCCCUCAAACUGCAAGACUAGGUAAUAAAUAUUUCAAUCCUUAAGCCUUCUCAGCCAGUCAUAGAAGUCACUUCUGUAAUAACUCAGAAUCAAACUUGCUUUAGUCAAAAUGAGGACUCUAAAAGAAGAGAAUUAAAUUUAUUAAGAAUGCAAUUCUGUAUGACAAGUGGAAGGUAAUAAUUUAGGCAAAAAUAGUCCUAAUAUGACAGGCAAACAAUCAUUUAAGUAGCUGCUCUUCACCAAAUUUGCCAGUUGGAGUUGGUGCUUGUCUGAAUAUGACUGAGCUAUGUCACAUAACAGUGUUGUAGAAUAUUUGUAGUAUAGUUUGCAAGAAGCAUGAAAGAAACUUAUUCUUUGUUAGCAAUAAUAAUGCCUCAGCUCUACCUAGAUUUUAGUAGCUCUUGCAGUGUACAUUGGUGUAGACCAACAAGGGGUAGUGUAGAAAAAAGCAAGGAAAUAAAUCUAGAAAGCUUGACAAACAAAGGUUUAGACAUGAAGGAGAGGAAACAUUUAAUAACAAUUUUUGAAUACAUAAAAUUUGAGAAAGAGAAGUAAAAAUGUAUGCCCAGGUCCACAGCGGUUAAGGCAAACUGCAGUAGGGAAAAUCAGUUUAAAUAUCAGGAUAAUUUCUUACCAUAAAGAGCGGUAGUACACUUCAGAGAGUCUGAGAACCUGUGGGAUAUCUGCAGUUGCGAUGCUCCUAAAGAAUAAUUUAAACAAACUGCUAUCAGAACUGACAAAGGUAUAAAUACUUCUGGUUGCAACUGAAGCAUGGAUUGGAAGACUCCAUACAACACACUUUCUAGACUCUGUGAGGCUACUUAUUUAUUUUUCAUUUAUUCUGGCUGAUGCUAGACUAUUGCUUAUUAUCUUCCCAUGCCAGUUUCCAAAGGAAUUAAACACUGAUAAUUUGAAAGAGCAGAUAUAGUUACUCAGAUAUUCUCAUCUCACUGAAUUCUUAGCAGACUUCAGGAGACUGUUUUGAAUGCUUUGGCCAUGUGUAGAGCAAGGAAGGUGAAACAAACGUAAAAAGGAAAACUGCCAGGAAAAAGAAAAAAAAAGAAGGAUUAGUUACAGAAUGAUGGAGGGCUGUAUUAAAUACUUUACUAGCUGGGAAUGUUCAAAAGAAAUUGUAAAGAAUAGUGUAAUAAAUAUAAGAAAUUAAAUUUAAGCCCAAAACAAACAUUUGGUUCACAUAUCUUUGACUUUGAUAGGUUUUGCACAUACAUAUUCUUUGGAGAAAGCGAAAAAGCAGAAAUGUCUUUCAUGUCAAUGUCUGUCUUAAGUUUGCUUGUGUUAAGACAAAUCUUUUGACUUUUUAUGUUGACAAACACUACUGUCUUAUCUGAUGAUGAGCAAGAAGAUCACUGGGCAUAUCAAAAAUGUGCAUCAUGAUGACCUUUGUUGAAUUGGCACUUGGGAGCUUUCCGGGACAUGACUUGCCUCACAGAGGAUGUUGGCAGUACGGUAUUUAGUUUGAGCCAGUAUACACUGUUUCUUUCAAAUAUACUUAAAAAUGCAUAUUUCUUUGUGGAAAAUAGUUGGGCAUCCAACACUGCUGUUUAUAUUCAGUGAUAGAAAAGUCAAGCAGCAAAGGAAAAGCUGACCUUCAGUCUGGUCAAGGUACUGAUGCUUUAUUUUUCAGUCUUUUUAUAGCAUCGUUUUGUAGAAAGUUAUGUUUUUUGACCUUUGUUGUGGUUUCUUAGUCAAAGACUAUUUUAAAUCAGUGUCCCCCAGUAGGCUCAAGAUGGCUGCCAAAGUUCUUGAGUGGAAAAAUGUAAGGAGAGCUUUUGUAGGAGAAUGACUGUGGCUACUUCAACCUUCAGGAAAGUGGAACAAUCAGACACAAAGGAGAAUGCCAAGUAAAAAGAAAAGAGUUAAAGAACAAAGUUUCCAGUAGGAACAAAAAUAUUUCCAGAAAGAAGAACUGGAGCAUGGAAGGGGUUCAUCAUCAUCACCAUGGCUAAACUAAGGCACUGUAGAAGGAUUACAAGGAAUUACUGCUCAAAAGUGAUACAUAUUCUGCAUCUGGUUACCCACGCCUAUUGAGAUGGAUGCCUGGAACAAGAAGUAAGUUUUCUUGACACAGCAGCAAAGAGUAACAGGAAAUUUACUGGAAAAAAACAUUACUACUCCCCAAUCACUCAAAAUCCAGUUCUUCUGGGCUGGGAGUUACAAAGCAUCUAUAGUCAGACACAAAGAAGCAUAGACCAGCUGUUCUAGAGUCUGGGCUGGUGGGUCCAAGACAGCUUUGGUUCAGAACCUGUUCAGACAUGUUGACAUGUGGUUGUACUGAUACAUGCUUCCUCUCAGGAAGGAGAGCUGGGUCAACAAAGCUAAUCCUGUGCUAUUGUGUAUGAAUGGUUUCCAGUGCACAGGCAGCUCUGUUCCCCACUAAGAGCCAGACAGACCUCAUCGUGACUAUGUGCACCUGUCAACAUAGGCAAGAUGCUUCCCACUGAGUCUGCCAAUCAGAACAUAAUUAAUGAUGGCUUACUGUCCAGCUAUUCAUACAGGAAUUACAAGUAGAGAAGCAAUAUGAAAGAGGAGAAGGAUAUGGGUAUUAUAAGAAAAGCAGCAUAGAAUAAUUUCUGUGACUGGAUUAAGUAAUCUUCUUCCACUGGUAAUCAAACUGUGUAACACUUUUCAUAGCGCUCUUUCAUUUCAGCAGCACUUGGCUACUGAAGUUAUCCCAGUGGGGGCCAGUGAAACCAAGCAGAGACUGAUGAAUUGAGGAAAGCUUAGACUCCUUCUGGCAGAAGCCAUUUCAACAUCCCUUUUGUUUCUUGCCAAACAGGUCCUGAUCACUCUCCUAAUGAGGCAGCAUGGUACCUUGGCAGAUAUGAAUGCCCACAAUUCCUAUGCCAGCCUAAGUCAUUCCUACAUAAUUCCUAUGUCAUACCUACUUCAAAGGGGUUGACUGCAGAUCGUCACUUCAAAAGGCAUGAUGAAAGUUUGCUGUUUCCCUCCUUUGAUUCAUCCAUCAUUCUCAAAGGAACAUGUGCCCUGUCUUUGUCAGACCACACAGAAAUCACUUUAUUGAUAGACCAGAAUAGCACACAGGGAUAUAAUAUCAUUUGCUUUAUCAAGGUCAUCAUCAAAAAUUAUUUGCACUUUAAACACUUCUGAAAGAAAAGAGUAAGACAUAAACUCACGCCUGUACUUAAAAAUCAGGCAUUCUUCUAUAGCUGCUUCAACAUGUUGCUUAUCUCAGAAGAAUCAGUGUCCCACCCUUUGAUCCACUUCUAUCGGAAUUUUUCUUGAGCUCUCUCCUUUGUGUUAUGCUUAAGCAGGUCAUCUCAUUUAUCUUCUUGGACUGUGUGGUGCAAGUGUGAGUUCUGCAGUACUGCCUCCUCUUCUUGUCCAGGCUGGAAGGACCUUCACCUCUCAAGUAGCCUGUAUGAGGCACUGGCACAGCAUAUGCAAUCGAAGAUAAAUGGUUAUUCCAUUCCCUGUUUAUGCUUUAUUCUUAAUUUGAAUUUAUGUUGCGCACCUUCACUAUCCUCUCUCUUUUAGAUUCAGGAGGACUGCAACAAAAUCUUAUGAAUCAACAGAGGAAAAAGUAUUCAAAGUGCCCAUCUGUGUGUGAGUUGGUAUUAGGACAGAUAUCACAUAUUUGUCUAUUUUUCAUGGGGUUUCUUCAUUUUUUAUUAUCUGUAUGCCACAAAUAUGAAACUUUUUAACCUACUCUAGGUUUAAAAUCAGCUUCUGGUUACCUUGAGAAUGAGGUUAGAAGAUGCUGUAGGCUCGUCUUUGUCUCAGCUUUUGUGCAAAGAAGCCCUGCCAUUUCCAAGGUUCAGGUUCUCAGUCUCCGUGUCUGUGUGAGAAAAUCUCAAAACUUUUACUGGGAUUUAAUUUCUUUGGCUGCUUAUUGGAGAAGCCAAGCACAGCCCGGAAACUGCCACAGAAGAGCUAUUAAUAUGUUUGCAGGGUGAGUUACAGUGAUAGGGACCAGAACAAAUAAUACGAGGUUCAGUUCUGGAGAGUUUGGAGAGGACUUAAUGUUUCUUGGAAGAAAUGGAAAACAAAGUUGUGGUUAAAGAGCAUUAUACAAAAUUCUCAGGAAAAGAGAGUUUCAUAGGAAAGUUUCAUCUGCCAGUUAUGGUUUACUGAUGUUAUUUUAAGGUAUCAUGGAAAAUAAAUCUAAGGAUGGCAACACAGUGCCUGCUUUGUGUUUAGAAUGCUUUGCGACUAGGCCUGUUUACAGUCACUUUCAGCAGCAGAUCAAGUAUUGAAGUAUUUUCAUUGCAGUCAACAAUGGUUUUCUGGGUCUAUCUAUUAGUGCUCCUAUGCAAGUGUAAUUUAUAACAUUUCAGUAUAUAAUUUAAGAAAAUCAUGUUUAAGCACUUGUGUGUCAACUGCUGUUAUUCUAGAAAGUGGACACCCAGCGCAACACAAUUUUUUAUGAUGCAGUGAUGUUUCCAUUAGACUUCCCUCUAUUUGAAACGUUGCUGCUUGGCCAUCCAAAAAGUUUUGUAGUCUGUAGUUUGCAACACCUUUGUGAAAAAUGCUGGAGUAAACUCUGAACAUAAAUGUUUUGUUAAAAAAAUAAUUUUAAGAAGAAAAAACCAAAUUUCCCCUCUUUUAAAUAUUUGUUUAAAAAGCCAAAGUAAAAUUUAAGAAGAAAAAAUAUAAAUAAGUUGAAUCUACAAGCUAUUUUUUUCUCUCCAAAAGCUACCAGACGUAUGACAAUGUUAUUAACAUUUGAAAUUUAUCUUCUUGAAUAGUCAAAGUAUUUGAAGGGGACAGCAUACAGGGCAUUCUAAAUAUACAUAUACUUUUAUUAUUCUUUAUGGUUUAAUUAAUAGAAAAGAACAAUUCCUUCCAUGUGUAUGGAUGGAAUCUUAUUAAAGUAUAAUAAAUAACUACGUUAUAGGAAGGAAGGGUGUAAAGGAGAAGGAACCAGGGUCGUUUCAGUGGUGCCCGGUGACAGGAUCAGAGGCGAUGGACACAAUCAGAAACACAGGAAGCACCCCCUGAACAUCAGGAAACACUUUUUUACUGUGAGUGUGAUUUGGCGCUUUCACAGGUUGCCCAGAGAGGUUGAGGAAUGUCCUUCCCUAGUGAUAUUCAAAAGCCAUCUGGACAUGAGUCUGGGCAACUGUCUGUAGGUGGCUCUGACUGACCAGGGGAUUUGAACCGGCUGACCUCCAGAGGUCCCUUCGAACCUCAACCGCUACGAUUCUGUGACAAUCAUUCAGUAAUGAGCAGUCUAGGAAGCUAUAUUUGCAUCCCAUUGUUACGUAUCACAGAUAUUACAUGGAUACCAUGAAUUUUUUGAGUUUUAAAUGAGUCAAACAUAAUGUAUUUGCAAUAGAGAGUUAAAAUUUUUUCUAAAAAGCAGUGCUGAACUCCUGAUUCUUAUCACUGCCAUAGGUCCCCAUAAGGUUUUCAUAAUACUUUUCAAAUGGGUUCAUUAUUGUUACAGUAUUUACUGGUAUACUUGUUAGCAUAAAUUUCGUACAGGAUUUAUAUUACUUUGUCCCACACAACUGACAUUCCCUUUUGCUCCUCACUACUCUGACAGUUACUUAAGCCUGAAAGACUGAAGAACAAAUACAGUUUACAAAUACACAAAAUUAAUACAUUACUGUACGAUAAAAGGUAGAUCCACCUAAAUCUGUGAUAGGAAUUUUGUUACACCUUUAAGCCAUGAAUUUCAGUGUUCUUAGAAAUAUAUAAAUGGUAGAUCACAGUAUCACACAGUAUCACAGUAUGUUUGGGAUUGGAAGGGACCUCAAAAAUCAUCUAGUCCAAUCCCCCUGCUGGAGCAGGAAUGCCUAGGUGAGGUCGCACAGGAACAUGUCCAGGCGGGUUUUGAAUGUCUCCAGAGAAGGAGACUCCACAACUUCCCUGGGCAGCCUGUUCCAGUGCUCUGGCACCCUCACUGAGAAGUUUUGUUGAAGUGGAUAAAUUAGGAAUACAAACAAGACAAACUAAGAAGAAAAGAAACAAACCCCUCAGGUUGUAUGCACAUUAGGUAACAGAAAUUCAGAAUUAUAUAUCUUUAUUGUUUUGCUAAGUGGAAGAAAACUCUGUUGUGGUAUUUACAUAGCAUCAGGAAGAGUUAACAUCAUGUACUCAGUUUAAUCUCUGGACAUUUUUGACUCUUGUGUUUUUAACUUAGUAACCCUGUUUGUCUAUUAUUUGGAGAAGAGAGAGAAAGAUGAGAAGUUUCUGCUAAAAUUGAGCCUCAAACUUUGCAUUUCAGUUGCAAAAUCACUCCAAAUUAUGAAAUGCUAAAAACAUUUGCUCAGUUUAUGCUUACAUGUUAGGUCAAUUCAAUCAUCAUUUAAUAUUCUUCAUACAGAAUCCCUGUCUCAUUUAGCACAUAAGGAAGGCUUGCAUUGAUAGAGAAGGAAAAUUGAAUAAUAACAGAGAUGGUUGGUUAAAAACCUGAUUUUUCAACUUUACAUUAUUAUUUUAUUAUUUUUAUGCAGUUUCCUUAGGUUGUCAAAAUUAAAAUGAAAGCUAUAAAUUUCAUUGUGUAAUGUCCACAUGAACUGUCAGAAAAGCUGCAAACUUUAGAUCAGAAAUUUUAAAAUAUUUUCACCUUAUGGGUCCUUAACAUUUUUUCUUAAUUUAUGUGUGGAUUCAGGUAUGAUGUGUUUUGCCUCCUGAUAACAGGUGUUUUGCUUUUCACUGUCACCUGUAAAUUAGCCCCUAAUUUUGAUGCUUGAGAUAAUGAAGUGAUGGACAGCAAUAAUUAGUUUCUGUCCUAAGUGUGGGCCAGUAGUACAGAAACAUGAUAUAAAAUGUCAGUGGCUUUGACAGGUCACUGCAGGACCUCUUAUUCCGUGCUGAAAAGGGGGCUUGCUACUAAAGGAUUUAUUUUCUCCUUAGAAACACUAUUUUCCUCAGAAAUCUGACUACUUUAUGAGAUUUUCAUCUGGACUUUAUUAUUCAUAGACUCCUACUUUUUAACCCAAACAUCCUUUGAUUUGUCCUGCUAAUUUUCAGUCACAAGAAAUGCAGCUCUGCCUACCAGUCUCUUUUACCCUCCAUUUCACAUGUAUUUUGUUUUGACUCUAGAUUUCCUUCUUUGGUUUCAAGACCUAGUUUUUUGACCAGCCAGGUUGAGUUCCCAUCUUUUACUAGUCUCUGCUAUGCACCUGCAUCCACCUCUCUUACUUGUGCCACUUGCAUUUCAGUGGUGUCCUAUGUCCAGCUUGUGUCCUGUGUGCCUUUGCAUAAGGCAUCUUCUCCUUUGACACUUGCUGGGUGUCAACAAGUGUAUAAUUCACAAGACAUGAGCUUCUUUUUCUUUCUUCUGAUGUCUGGAUCUGUCUCAGCCUGGAAAUGACCGUAUUAAGAAAAGCCCAUGAUCUGCCAAGGAUAUGCUAGAUGACAGCACAGGCCCAUUCUGGGGUUAGUGAAUGAGGCAUUCAAAUGAGAGGAGAAGCAGCACAGCCGAUUAUUUUGUGUGAAUGAUGUAUAGCCAGAGAGCUUCAGAAAAGGUCUGGGGGGAGAUUGAGUAAGCUCAGUAACAACAGAAACUUACAUGAUUUUUGUGGUUGAGCUUUUGCAAACUUCCAGUGAGUUCAUACAAAUUGGACAUUUCCAAGAUUUACAUUAGGGGUUGUUUCUCAGAAUGAUAGCAAAGAGCACAUCAGUGACACACAGACCACCCUUUUGCCAGAUGUCAAGUUCCUGCACCAAUAUAUGAGGAGGGCACAAGAGCUGCCAAAGUAAAGGUUACAAGCUUGUUUUUUUAACAGCAAAAAAUAGCAUGUUUUUCUCUUGCUUCACAGCAGAAACUUUUUGGCUGAAAUUGUCCGAAAGAUUUAUUCAGAAGGCAAAUACCAUGCAUGGAAAAAUUCAACCUAAACAGUUAGUUUGGCAAAAUUAUAAGAAACCAGAUCUUAUAACAGGAAACAUUUGCAGCCUUAAUACCAGGCAGUGCUAACAAUUGAGUGUAUAAUUUACUCAGCACCACCCUAUUUCCCUGACAAAGAUAUUCAGCUGCUUGUAAGGCCAAGUUCCGAGCUUGGAAGGCAUGAGCAUUAGCUCCCAGUUGAUGCUGGCUAGUGUUGACUACGAAGAUUCACUUUUAACCGCAGCCUUUGCCUAGCUUUCACAGCAUAGCUGAUUACAUUCCACAGCUAUGCCAUAUUUUGGAAAGUCCUUUACCAAGUUUGAUGUUCAUGGUGGUUUCAACAAAGAUGAAAAUAAGAGAAAGAUGGCUUGGGACAUUUCCAUCAAAACUGUUACGACUGAAGGCAAUUUUUUAACCCUUUCUACUCUUCCAUGAGGAUGCUUUCUGUCUCUGUGGGGUUGUUAUACUGGAGGGGAAAAUGAGGUCAUCUGCAUCAUUAAAAAUAUGAUACAUAAUCAUUGUGUAUCAUUGAAGACUCCACAGCAGUGAUGCCAAGAUUGAACAAUGUAGGUUACUGAUCUGCAGACCUCUUCAUCUUUUUCAUUAAAUGAACAUUGACCAUAGAUGCUAAGGGGCUUUGCUUUUGGUUUUUAUUUUUGACCAUAAAGUUGCACUGUCACUGUAAGUACAUACAUUGCUAUUUCAUCUGUAAUGGGUCUAGAAAAGUCAUCUUUCUUAUAGGAUUUUUUCAGCCAUGUUACUGUGCACAUGUAUUUUCUACUGGUCCAGAUGCAGAAAUAUGUCAGAGAGGUGUAUUUCUCCAGGCAGCCUUUUCUUUCUCUGAGCUGGUAUUUUAAGCAUAGCAAGACACGACACUGACAGUCUCAAAAUUUUCAAGCUCAGCCAUGGACUUGAAGUGCAAGCACUGCUUUCUGACUACUUCCCUUGAAAAAUUAACCUUCCAAAACAAAGGGAAGAAGGCACAUACCUAUGACUCAUCAUUGCCACCAAGGCCCACUGAAAGGGAUUGUAGCGGGGAGAAGGCGGCAGACAUCUUUUGAACUGAAAGUGGUGAUAUAGAGCGUUUCACUGACACAACAUCCCUUCCAGAGCUCCUAGAGAUGAUACCACCUCAUGUCUAGCACUGCUGUACCAUGUCAUAGCCAGCUGCUCAAAACCAAGAGGUGAGGGUGAAAGCAUAUAGCAAAAACUACAAGCUAAAAUGCAUAAGAGGAAAGGCAGAAACAAAGCAUACCAUUAAGAAGUCAGAGCAUUAAGAAUGGAGAUUAUAUUGAAAAGAAAUGUAGCUGUGCUAAAUAUUUCAAAAUCACAGAAAUGUGUUGAUGGAUAGUCAGAUAACCUCAUAUCUUGCAUAUAGAGAUAUUAUGAAAUAGUUAUGUGAUUGUGAUUAAGACAAAACAGUAUUGUUGCAGGCAGCAAGGGGUCAGUGUUGUGGCUGCAUGAUCUCUAAUUAAUAAGUUCACAUUUAAUCCACUUAUAGGAAGCAUGGCCUAGUGAAUUACAUGGCAGCUGAAAUGUUCCUGAAUGGAAAAUAAGAAUACUGUUUUAAGAAAAAUUGUAAUGUUUGAACAUUUGGUUUCAUUUUACAAAAGAAUAAAAAUGACAUCCUUUGAAAUAUUUAAUUUAAAAUACAAGAGACGGGCUUGCUCAUUCUCCAAAACAGCCCACACCCCAGUGGUUAGGAUGCUGGAGUAAAAGCUGUUUGGAAGAUUUUCAAUAAAGUGUAUUUUAUAGGAAAACAGCAGUUCACUAAAAUGGGAAAUGAAUUUGUUUAUCACAAUGUUGUUAAAAGAAUUUUCAGACCAAGGGCAACAUUUUUCAUCCAAGAUGUAAGGGUGUCAUUACAAAGAGAUUUCAACUUAGUUCUUCUGAAUUCCUAGUGAAUUCCCACAGAAAAAUGACCAGUAAGUUUAGACUUGAUUUCCUAUUCUUCAACAGACUUCCCAUGUUAUCUUGAACAAGUUGCUUUGGUCCAGAUUAUUUAAAGUAGUUGAAUGUGUAAGCCCACUAUGUAUGCACAUUUUUUCCAGUUUGCAUGGUCUAAUCUUACAAUGAGGCCAGAGCACAUGUCAGAACAAGAUAUGAAAACACCAACUAUAGACGAUCAAUGGAUAAGAUAUCAGCUUGACAUUUGCACAUGUAGUGGUGGUGGGAACAAAUACACUGUGAUUGAGUACUGGUGGCAAACGAUGAUGAGAAGAUGUGAGCAACCAAGAUUCAAGUUCACACUCUGCUCCCAACUUCGGAUAAUUGAACCAAGCACCUUGACAUAGCUGACUACUCUGCCUUCUGAUCUGUUUUAUUGAAAAUUGAAACUAAAUUUUAAAGCUAUUUUAUCCAAGAGACUAUAUGACUGGGAACAUUUCCAGAUCCUCACUGUUUUGAUUGUCAAACAGACUUUUUUAUCCAUUAAUCAAAAAGAAUUAAUUUACUAUUUUAUACUUUUUUUUUUUUUUUUUUUCCAAUGCUGUCCUUUGGCUUAAAUAACUUCUUUUUUCACUGGAAUUUAUGUACCUGAUGUAUCUAGACUGAGCAAUGAUACCCAUUCUAAACUUUGUUUUUCCUAGGUUAAACAACAAAUCUCUCUUACUAUCCCUUUGUAAAUAAAGUUUCUCUCUGCUGCCAAUUCCAGUAGCUCUCCUCCACAUAUCUUCCAAUGUGACUUUUUUUCCACCACAUAAACGCUUUAAUAUUUCUCUAUCUUUUUCUGAAAAUACUUUGCUGGAUGGACCUUGGGAUCCCUCAGCUUUUCCUGAUAUGGAAAAUCACUGAUGAUUCUGAACCAGAGUGCCACUUAUUCAUAAGCCCUGGUUCUCUCUUCUUUUUAUCCUUAUUGAUGGAUGAGCCACUGGAAAGGUGAGAAAACCCUUCUGCUUCAGGUCUAUAAGUGUAUAUCCCGAUUCUCUACUGUCAAAUUUAAUCCCAUUUCUAUUACUCUAAUUUUCAAGUAAUUCGAUUUUUUAUAUUUUUGAUAUACGUAUCUGUCAGUAUUUGACUAUGCUUAUAUCACCAACAAGUUUUGUUAGACCAUUUUUACUACUUGUGCCAAGUUCAAUACUGAAAAUGUGAAAUAAUGUUGUCCUGAAGACUGAUCCUUGAGGACAUCCAGCCAUAAAUUCUUUUCAGCUCAAUCUGCCCUUUUUAACACACACUACUUGUGUUUCCCCUCACCAACACAGAGUUUUCUGUACCAGUCUUAGUUACUCUUACUCUAUAGCAGUCUUACUUACUGUUAUGUUCAGCUGUAGACUCAGCUUCUACUACUGCUACAAGAUAUAAGCUUCUACUCCAAGUGAACGUAUCAGAGAUUGGAAUGUGAUCUCUCACAUUGAGUGACAGCCUUGGAAGAUUACCGACUUCUUGUUUCCUGUCUUCUUGUGGCUGCAGAAACAUCUGUCUAAGCUGAGGAGAUGUAAUCAGUGAGAGUGUUCAGAACUGUGAAGUACAGGAAAACUCCUGGUUACAAAGUAAGUGGGGACUCUGAUACUGAAUAUUCCAUUGGUCAAAAAGCUGCACGUUAUACACAACAACUGUGAGUGAAGUGCUUAUACGUCUCUAAGAAUAUGUGCCUUAGUCACCCUCUGUGGCAGUUGCCAUUCUGCAAAAGUAAAGUUACUUCCAGUGUAUGCUGCUCGUAGGUUCAAGUCAGGUAUAAACAACUUUGAAUUUAUAAUCACAUGCUGUAUACUCUUCAAGUUGUAGCAUAUGUAGAAUCAGAAAUAUGGUAAAAAUUAUGUGCAAUGCUGCAAAAUAUUUUUUUAAUGUUUGAGCACACUCACUCUUCUGUCCUCAAAUUUCAUAAAAUAAAUGUUAAUGAAGUAGUAGAAUAUCUACUAUUGGCAGCUGGAAAAGCUACUGAUAUCUGGUUUUCUCUCCUUAAUUUUCCUCUGUUUUAGCAUAAGCAUUUUUCUAGCAUGAAUGGAUACAGAUUUUCCAUUAAAAACUGUUAGCAGUGGAUGAGUAAAUGUCUGCCAAUGUUACAGCCAGUUCAUGAAGAAUCCAACUUCACGGUCUUGCCAACACAGCAAUUAGGACCACAUGUGCUAGAGAGGCAAGGGAAGCCUAUGCAUAGUGAUGACAGUCCCAUAAGGCCUGAUGGUUGCCUUUCCAGUCCCAAAUUUCAGAGGCUUUUUAAAACAUAUCUGCCUAUUAUAAAGUCUCUGGUUUGUGUAUUUAAAAUCCACAAUACUUCUAUCUAUAGUAUCUUCAUCUCUUCUUUGGCUGUUUAUAUUUAUGUCAUAUUAUGUCAGGAAAAGAGUCAGUUUUCAAAUUAUUAAAAGCAAGAGCAAUUAAAACAUACUAAUGUUGAUGUAUACAAGUUGUGUCCAUAUAGAUAGCUAUAUGUGUAUAUGUGUGUUUAUGUAUAAAAAUAUGCAAGAAUAUUAAGCCUAGAAGUGUUUGUACCAUUAAUAACUCCUGGGAAUGGCACCAGCUUUUCAAAGCUUCUACACCUCAGCAGAUUUGUUUCAGUCAUGAUCAAGUGGGAAAUGUGUCACUUGUUUAGCAGCCUGUGUGAAAUUCAAUUGGAGUUUUGCUCCAAUCUCUUCUUAACAAAUGUACAAAUCAUACUCAAAUAUCUGCAUGUUAGUGAUGUGUCUUGGGGAAGGGAUUGUAAUCCUGGAUAGGUAUGGAAACCAACCUGUACUACUGCUAUGAAGUUUAAUAAUCAUUUAAGCAAUACAUAGGUUAUGACUGUGAUUUAAGCAAAAAUCCAAGUGUAAAUGGUAAUAAAAUGAUAGUGGCAAUCAAAGGAAAAAAGGAUCAACUUUCCAAAGUAGAAUUAGAGGUUACUGACAUACAGACAGAGAGCUCUCUGACCUUAAUAUUCAAAUAGCAUAUUUUUCAAAGAACAGUUCAGUCCUGCUCAGUGACAGCAGACCCAGAAGAAAACAUGGUUACUGAGGGAUGGCAGAGUGCCUGGGGUGCCAGAGAACAAGCUGUGUGCACGCUUGAUCUAGAACGGAGGCAGAAACCCAGGCUAUCAGUGAUGAGACCAGGACAAUGACCAGCUACAUGAUUCACAGCUUGAAAGGCAAUUCCAGACCCUUCUGCAAUCCCUGGAAGGGCUGUGUGUUAGUGGGCAAGAGAUUUGCAAGGUCAGCAUGACAGAUCCAUCACAUUAUCCACCAGACUGUUAUAGACAGACUGUUACACCAGGCAUGUCACAGCCCCUGUUAGUAGUUAAUUGGAUAAACUCAAAGCACAGACUCGUAUCUGGCACCUGGCUGGCCCUACAGCAUGAUGGCCCAUAUGCCGACUGGUCUGUGCUACUGUCCUUUUCCCAGACACUGCUGGGCACAGUUAGAGGUGUAGCCCCUGUCAGGCUCCAUUCCCAGUGUGGGCUUUGGAUAGCAACUGCCUGGUUUGGGAGAGGAAGAGAGGUCCAAUGUGGGGACAGGAGACAGUUUGGGCUAUUGGUGUUAUGACCAGAGAAUGGCCCUCACUCUGUUUUUCACUAGCUUUACUGGCCUCAUUGUACCAGACUACACACCUCACGAGUCAGUGAGGACCCAGCUGUAGACUAAAUUUAGCAGGAAUUCAGUGCUACAGAGUGAAGGCCUCAGAAAACAGGCAAACUCCGGGGUCAAGGAUGCUUGCCUCAGGGUACAUUCUUUAGAUAAGUACUGGAGCCACUACAGUUACUGAGACAUGCUGCUGCAAAGAGGUCAAUAUUUUCAAUGAUUUUCAUUGGUCAGUUCAUUAAGCACUGUGAUUUGAAAGUGAACUUUUCUGUGAAGAUUCUUACCUUUUCCACAGAUUCAAAUAACCAAAAUAAUUACUUAUCUUUUCAUUGAUAACAUUUGCCAGCAUGCUGAACUUCAGAAGCAUAAUAUUUUGGUUAGGAUGGGUACUGCCAGGAAAAGCCCUGACAUCUAGCGACUAAAAGUUGGUAGGAACUGUAAAUCUCCAAAGACUUGAAACCAGAUUCAUAUUUUUUUUAAGUCAUGGCGCAGUGCCAACAGGAUGCCGUUCUGUUACAGCAUUGCAGUGAAGUGGUUAGGGUCAGAAUUGCAUUUAGGCACAGUCAUUGUUGGAUAACUGCCCGUCCAGCCUCAUUCAUUCACAUACAGUACAUAUGCUUAUAAUGUAUUUCAAGGCCCCUGUAACACGGACUUGAAACCAAGAGAGAGAACAAUAAAGAUUUAACUCACCAGCAUAGCUGGUUCUUUUCCCAGUUUCUGAACUCUGUCCAGAAGACACAGCCAGAUGUGGCUUGAAGAAAGAGCCCAUAGUCCAGAGAAUGAAAGAAGAAGGCUGAGAGAAAAGGAGUUUUCAGGACAUCAGUUAAGGAAAAAAAAAAGUCUUGCUUACAUAUGGGACUAAGGAGUCUACAGAUGUGCACAGGAUGAAACCUUAUCCUCAGCUUCAGGCAUACAUUUCUGAGGAAAUCACUAACUUCCAGAAUGGGCCUGGGAUUGGUCUGUUAGAUAUGGGAGCCCUGAACUUUUACUUCCUCUUCACGUAAUGUUCUCCUGAUAUUUUAAGAAAAUGGAUUUACAACAUUCUUGUACACGGAUCCCAGCGAUCAGGACAUAUGUGGCUGCAAAAUUAAGAUACUUGUAAGAUGCAAUUAAAAAAAAAUCCCCUUCAGGGCACAGCUAUGCCAGGAAGCACAAUGCAGAGAUAUGACAUAGGACAAGAGGCAGAUAGAGCUGUGGCUGUUCAGCCUGGAGAAGAGAAGACUUGGGGUGGGCCUUAUGACUGUGAUGGUGGGGAGCAGUAAAGAAGGUGAAGCCAGGGUCUUCUCUGGGAUUUCCAGUGACAGGAGAAGAGGCUUUGGGAACUAUUUGAAGUACAGGAAAUUCUGCUUAGGUGUAGAAAAAUGUGGGUUUUUUGAAUGUGAAGGUGUCUGAGCACUGGAACAGGUUGCCUAGAGAGGUUGUGGAGUCUCAGACCUUGAAGAUGUUCAAAAUCCAGUUGGAUACAACCCUGUGCAAGAUGCUGUAGCUGACCCUGGAUUGAACUAGGUCAUCCAGUCUUCACCUGUGGCUUCAUGGACUGUAAACUAGCAGUGAUUCAGCGUGUCAAAGCAGCCAGGCUGUGCUGGUGGAGUGCUGUGCUCCGCCUGCUCAGCCAGAGUAGGUUUUAUUCAGUGCCAUCUAACACAGUUUUAUGACUUCAGACACCCAAGCUGGUGUCUCUGCAUGCCGUUAUUUAGAUCCAUAUCACCUCUUCCUGCUAAAAGCUUUCUUGCUUCAUGCCAGUGUCCUACAUAUGGUCUUGCAUUCCUGGAAAAUGCCUUCAGUUUGAGUAUUUUUCCUCUAGUUUUAACUGUUCUCAAGUUUUUCAUGGCAUCCUGAAGGUCUGGAGAUCUUACAUGAGAGACUGAGAAACUGGACACUUGGGAGCAUUAUGCCCAAAUGUGGUAUUAUUGUCUGAUCAUGAUACAAUUCAUAAAAUAAUUUUUGUUGACAAGUCUACAAAGCACACAUUUGACAUGUUUUCUCCAUUACAGAAACUUCACUAUAUUUGCUGCUGAAAUGUCAGCCAAAUAAUAUGAAGUGAUAUCUUCCGAUUAGAGCUAGAUUUUUGAAAUAACCAUUCUUUCUGUUAAUCAGUUUUAUGUGUAGUUCAGCAAAUACCGACAGAAAUACUUUACUUAACAUGGGAAAACUGAGAAAAUAGAAACAGUUUUAAUGCAGAAAACUCCUUUUUUUUUUUUUUUUUUUUUUUUUUUUUUUUUUUUUAUGACAGCUCUGUGACAUACCUUGGACUGAGUUACAGCAUGCCAACAAUAUGGGGUGAAACCCUACCACUGUUGAAAUCACAGAAAAAUAGGCCAUGGUUUCAUGCAUGAACUGUAAUUGGCAAGGCUUAAAUGUCAUAAAUAUUCAUUUUGUUUGGAAUUAAUGAUGGAAUAAGAAUAUGUGAAAUGCCAUUCUUGAGACAUAUUAUGUGAAUUUUGAAAACUAUUUUAAGAUAUACACUCAUUUUACCUAUUUCAUAAAAUUUUUGGCCUUUAUUCUUGUCUCACAGUAAACUUGAACAGGAUGGGGCUUGCUAGGUCAUUGAGUUUAGUCUUCUCUUACAAUGAAUAGCCACUUUAUAAUAAUUCAUUUACCCAGGGAACUCCUAAAUGCUUCUUGUUUUCAUCACUCUACAGGAUGUUCAGUUCAGUUCAGUUACCCAGCUUCUGCUGAGGUAUUUUCAGAACAUUGUGUCACUUCUGCAUCAGUACACUGGGAGAACUGAAAAAGCAAACUGGCUAGAAUAAUAUAACCUAGCACUAAAUUAAUAAGGAAGAGCUACCCUUGAUAAAUCAGCACAGUUAUCCAGUGAGGCUGGAUGCAGCUGUGUAUAAACAGGAAAACUGCAUCUGUUCUUCUGUCCAAUGAUGUAGUCUGUGAGCACACUGGCUGACAUUAAUGGAUGAGAGAUUCUCUUAGUGCUUAGCAUAAGUCUGUGGCUGGACCUCAGUACCCCGUUUAAGUCCCUUAUUGCCUUUGGACCAUCAUUGUGAUAUUAACAAUUUGUGUGUGUGUAACUCUUCAACAAAGUUUCUUUCUGCUAAAGGAACAGCAUCAAAGUAUUUCUUAAGCGUGCAAUGUUGUAGCUUACAAGUUGAUACCCACCAAGUACCUGCAAAGUAAGCUUUAAAAUCUCAUGGUAUGUACUGUAUGUUAUUAAAACAUGUUCACCUGCUAAGUUGUGUGCAUCUAUCUUUUGAUGAUAUAUGAAUAAUGUGUUCUGGUCAUAAUUUGAAAUGAAGAGUCUACUAUAAACACUGCUAUUAGCCCUAGCUGGAAGAUUUUGUUGAGAAAAAAUAUAGGAGGCUGUAAAUAUAUUUUUAUAACUUUACUAAAGACAUCUCAAGCAAUGACACCAUAAGAAAAAAAUUAAAAGUACGUAUUUUCACAGGGUCGAUACAUUCAGUUGUGUGGUAGAUUUUAUUUUUUAUGAACCCAUGGAACAAGCUGUGCCUGGAAUAGACUAACGUGGCAUCACUGAAGACUUGAGGUAUCUUUCUUUGCGUGCAAUGUAUCUUUUAUGAGUAAGUACUGUGAAAAUCAUCUUUACAGCUCUCAUCAAUCUUAAAGCACUCUGGAAGACAUUUUAAUCCCUAUGUACAGAUGGUGCAAAUAUAUCACAGCGAACUGAAAGGACCUCCUGAAAACUACCCAGCAGGUCAGCAGCAAAAUUGGCAUCUGUGGAUUCCUUCUUGAAAAUAUCCCACUUAACCAGACAUGCUAUUUCCUAAAAUUCUGUCCAUUUUAAAUCAUUGCCAAGCAUGUCCUUUGCUUAAAUUCUUUUUCUGAUACUCAUGGGCCAGGUACAAGACCAUCCUUUCAGGCUUAGGUGGACAGGAGUGAUGCAAAUGGACACAUUCUUAAGCAUUUCACUGAUUUUGUGGCUGUCUGGAUUUCUGUAUCUAGGAGACAGAGAAAAGCAACUACAGCAAUUGUGUGUGCAUUAUUCUAUGAAGUGGUUAAUGAAUUAAGGCCAAUUAGUUAUUACUGGCUGGAGUUUAUCUUCUCAUUCCCUGGAUGACUGUAGAAUGACUUCAGACUAUGGAAAUUGCAUUUUUACUAUUUUUUGGCUUGUGCUAUGUGUGUGCAUCUAGCCAGCUAUCUAUCUGUAUCUCGGCUUCAAAGACUAGGGAGAGAAAACCACCACCACAAACUUCAGUGAUGUGAUUUUGAUAGCCUCAGCCUAACAAACUGCUAUCAAAGUGACAUCCCGAUGGUAGGCAGUGGUGGAAAGGAAACUUCUGGCUAUACUACUUGCAAAUAUACAUCGCUACUGCAGUCCAAAGGGAUUCAGGACAGCUUAAACAUGGGCAUGAUGUGUUUUCUAGGUUGUAAUGCAGUUUGUCAAGAGUUUGGAUAUUUAAAAGAAAAAAAAAUAUGUAAGUGUCUGCAAAAAUUUUACAGAUUUCUAUUCUCUUGGUUAUGUCUUCAUGGUGGAAGCAACCUGCACUCUUACUUUAAUGCUACUUGUCAACCUUGCUUUUGCAGAAAAAAAAAUAAUCGUUCAAUCAAAUAUCCCUCUGAUUAGACUAAAAGGCCAAGCUGAGUGCUGCUGUUUUGGAAAGACUGGUCAUACUGCCUCACUUUACUGUAUUAAGUUAGUCAAAUACUACAUCUCCAGCAUUUUCCUGGAAUUUCCAAAACAGAGUAACUCCUCCUACUGUUCACUGGCAAAGCAGUAGAGGUGAUUCAGCAUAUCAAUACAGAAAACGUCCCCAGAAGUCCUACCAGUGCACCUGCAUGGCAACAGUGCUGGUGAGGAUAGGUAUCGUUGUCUAGUGCAUUAAAGAAGGUGCCAGUCACUGACAAGCUCACCAGUCAAGCCGUAAAUUCAGUGUCACAUAAUGACAAAUAGUGCUAGUUAAUCAAGAGAAAGAACUGUAAAAGCUAAAAGUUGUUCUGAUUCUCUUUAUGUCUUGAAAAAAGAAAAAGAAAAAAGAAGAAGAAAAAAAAUGUUAUGUACUGUCAGGCAUGUGUGUGUGAAAAACGUGAUAACCACUUUAUUCUGCUUAAAUGUUAUUGGCCAGAUUCUCACUUGAUGCAAUUUAAUGAGACUGUGGUCAUACAUUUUAAAGGAGCUUCCAUAGAUGAGGACCCGGUUUUAAUACUGAACACAGUAGAAUCUUCAAGAAAACAAACAAUAUACACAUAGCUUUUGCAACCUAUGGACAAGAUUUUGAAUAAAAGAGGUAUAGAUUUAGAUUCUGAUUUUGAUACCAAGGUUAAGUAGCCUAACUCUUGCAUAUCCUGACCAAACAGUAAGUCUUCCUCGUGUUAGUGCCACAUAUAGUCUUAGUCCAUUCCAUCUCAAGGAGAUUUUUUUAUCAAUUGCUUUCACUCUUUCUUCAAUAAAUACGUCUGCUGUGUCCUCUGCACUUGCUGACUACUCUCUUUUUAAAUAUGCAUCAAAUUUAUUGUGAGACUCUUUCAGCCCUUCCUGAGGGAUAGCUGUAUUUGUGCGGAAGUUGUGGUAUGCCUUUGCCACAUACCAGGUAUCAUAAUGCUCCUAAGGGGCAGGGAGGAGUUUGUACUUGAGUUUAUCAACCAGGGACUCAUAUAGCUUUAUGAUUUUUUUCCACCUGCUAGGGAGAAUGUUAUGCUUUAUUAUGUAUUUCAGCUCAUUAUCUUCUGUUCAGCUGGUGUCAGAAUCUGACCCUUCUUCUCUUGGAAAGACUGCAAUUCAUAUUUUUAUGUUUACAUAUUUUCACAUCACUAAUGAGUAAAUGUGAUAUAUUAUUGGAUAACAACAAAGUUUCUUGUGGUGUGUCAGAUGAAUGAGAAGUGUUCCACAGGAAAAUAACAGACGUGCUAGCAGAUGGAAAUGAUGGCACAACUUGGACUAUGGCUCUGGAUCAGCAGGAUAAGCGUAUUAAAGAGUUCUCAAACUAUGGCAAGGAAAUAAAAAAGGAAAGUAUUGUUGUAGCAAGAAUUAAACUUACAUACUUGGUGAAUAGCAUAAUGUAAAUCAACAAAGAAUGUGUUCAUCUGAGUAAAUGACAGAGACUAACAUGAAUAGCAGUACUUCAAAUAGCAGUACUCAAAGUAGAGAUUCCUGGAAAAGUUUACAUGCUUUUCCAUAUUCCAGUCACACAUAUCUUCAGUAACUGUGUUGUCUAAAGAGUCAUUCCAGGCAGACUAAGUAAGAGAAGCAAUAUUCUGUAACACCAUGGAGAAGCAAAAAGAAAAGUGCAUAGAAACACCUAUUCUGCAUAAUCUAGUUACAAACAGGUUUUUAAAAUCGCUUGCUGAUGACACACAAGAAAGAUCAGUGGAAAGGGCUUUGUUGACUUUGCUCGUGGAGGGAUGACUUCAAAUUCCAGAAAGGAAACAAAAACUUUCAAACUAAUAAUCAGAUAUUAUCUCUCUAGAAGUUGGACUUGAAAGCCUCCAGAAAAUCUGAUUUGCAGAUGAUGGGGAAGUAAUGAGGUGACACAAAGAAAGCUAUUUGCGAUCACAUAUGAGAUUAAAAUAACACUUCUGUGAUGGCACAGAAAAUGUACUGUUGUAAAUCCUGAGUUGUCAUUGGUGACUCAGUGAGUCGUAUUUACCAAACUGAACACAACAAGUAGUAGAACAAUGAUUUACUGAUGACAUAACACAAUAUACUGCUGCUGAUGUACAGAAAUUACUGCGAGGCUCCAUGAGAAAUAAUUUGAAGAUAUUGCAUAGCUUUCUGGAUCAUCGCAAAGAUAUUAUUUUUCAAAGAAAACAGCAAAAUGUCAUACCCCUUCUCCUUUAGGAAAUAUGUCUCUGAAGACUAUCAAAGAGCCCAGCACACAGUGAAUCCAGCUGGUCUUUAUUCCAGGACCAAAUACAUUAUAGCAUUUUACUUACUGGGUGCUUCUAAAGCACAAAGGGAAAAUGAAGAGGAUUUGAUUUACUGUUGUCUGUCGUGGUUCUUGGACCAUAUGCUAAUAAAUACGUUUUCUGGUAAUGAAAUUAUUGCCAGAUAGUGGUAUUGGUUCUGUACCACAUAUGUAUAGAGCUAACUGCUGGAGGAUCUUGUGUUUGCAUUGCAAUUGGGAUGAUCUGGAUGGCAAACUGUUGUAUGCCCUUUGCCAGGAGAAAAAACGUUUCAUUCUUGAGAUUGAGCCCAAAGGCAAAUGGGGGUAAAACACAACCUCUACAGUACAUUAAAUUGCUAAUUUAUGCUCCUACAGCUUGCUUCAUCAUAUCUGCAACCCCUUCUAGAAAGCUGCUCAGUCUGGAUUUAGAGUUGCUCACGUGUGGCAGAUACCACACUGUCUUCAUGAACCUUUUAAAGGAUCUUCUUAUAUAAACUUGACUUACUAUAUGUUGAUAAAAUCUAAUACUAGUGUUACAGGAAAUCUCUAAAUGGUUACUCUGUUCUGGAUAAGAUACCAGCUUUUUAAAUAGACAGAGAAGGAAAAUUUCAUAUGCCAUGAAAAAAUAAACUUCAUUUCCUACCGUGUAUGGGUACCAUGGAGUAUUUGAGUUGUGGAGUAAUAAUUUCACUUGUAUACAAAAAUAAAGGAAUUUUCAGGAUAACGAAUUUCCAUGGAGGCAUCCAAAGGGAAUGUUCUUAUAUGCACACAGGUAAAAUUCAGUAUCACCCUGUUAUGAAGUGAUACUUCAUAGAUUCUAAGAUUUUAACAUAUUUGCCACAAAUUAGUUGACACAAUCCUAGAGAUCAGAAAUAAGUCUCUUCAGAGCUGAGUGAUUGUGUCUAAUGCUACACAUACUCUUAAAAGAGCUCUGAACUUACAGUCUCAUGUCACCUCUUUGAACUAUGAUGGCAGUGUAUGCCUUAUUUCUAAGAGGAAAAAGAAAGCAAAGGCAAAUAUAAUAUAAUCAAGUAUAUAUAUUUUUUUUCAAAUUUUGCUAUGCUCACAUGUAAAUGAGAAAGCUGCUUGUAAUUAACUGGAACUUGAAGCUAAUGAAUCCUUCUCCUAAGAAGGCUGGAUACUCAGCCACCCUGCUCAGAGAAGAGGCAAUUAGAGCAACUUACUCAAGACCAUGUCCAGUGAGGUUUUGAAUAUCUCUUAACAAUGAAGACCCCACAGCCUAUCUAGGCAUCCUGUGCCUGGCCAGUCACCAUCAAAAAAAUGUUUUUCCUGAUGUUCAGAAGGAACCUUUUGUGUUUCAUUUGUGCCAACUGCCUCUUGUCCUGCCACUGGCUACCACUGAAAAGAGCCUGGCUCCCUCUUCUGUACACCCUCUCUUCAGCUAUUCCUACACAUCAAUAAGACAUGCCCCUUAACCAUCUCUUCUCCAGGCUGAACAGUGUCAGCUCUCUCAGCCUUUCCUCAUAUGAAAGAUGUUCUAAUUACUUAAUCAUUUUAGUGAGAACUGGUUUUAUCCCUGGAGGUGUUUAAAAGAUGGAUAGAUGAGGUUCUUAGGGACAUGGUAUAAUAUAAUGACAAUGUUAGGUUAACUGUUGACUCAAUGAUCUUGAUGAUCUUUUCUAACCAAAAUGAUUCUACAAUUCUAUGAUUCUAGUCUUCAGUAAAACCCUAAAAAUGCAAUAAAAAUGUAAUAAUCAUUAACAGUUGUGUACUGAGGUAACUAUAAAUAUGUAUUUAAAAUAUUGACUGAAAAAUUGAGUCAGACACUUCCCAUUAAUACUGUUUCUCACCAUUUAUGGUAGUUUAUGGUCUUGGGGUGUUGCAUCCUUGCUAAAGAGUAUUACCUCAACAACAUAGUCCAAUUAUCGUUGACAGUUAAUAAAAUCCCAGAAGUUUAUAAGAAAUUACCACUAAGUAUGUGGUACGUAACUUAUUGAAAGUCACAUCCAAAUGAACUAACCAAACUAUGUGCUGUACUCUUUAGUUUGGGAACAUUUUGUUUUCUUUGUAAAUGUAACACAGCAGGUAUUGAAGACAUUUUGGAUGUUUUGGACUAUCCCAUGUUCCUUGCCUGAAACUUGGUCCCUUUAGCAACACGAUACUAUAAAAAUCUCCUGUUUUAUAAGAAAUGUCUACAUAUUGAAUUUAAAGGGCCAAAACACAGUGUUUUAUUGUUAGAUUAUAUUUAUUGUAGCACAUAAAAAACAGAGUAGAAGAAAACUCGUGGUGUCACCAAACCCUUCUAGACAAGAAAACUGGCUAUAGCCAAACCAUUCUUGGCAUAUGAUUGUCUAAUGCUGGUCUUCAAAAUAUCCAGUGGCAGAGUGGCAUAAUGUCCUCAGACAGCCUGUUCCAGUCCUCACUCUGCUCACUGACAGAGUUUCCUCACUUGGGUCUGAGCUAUAGUGCCUACAAUCUCAGCCUGCUAAAGACAGAACAGUUUGUUCUAUUUAUUACCUUUUACAUAUUUAAAGAGUGUUAUCACUCCCCUCCAGCCACCCCCUCUCCAGUCUAAACACUCCAAAUUCCUUUGGCAUAUUUUUUUCCAUAUAUCAUACUUUCUAGACCUGUGAUCAUUUUUCUUCUUUGUACUUUUUCCAAAUGGUAUAUAUAUCCCUUGAAUAAAGACCUCAAAAACAUAAAAUUGUGCUCCUGCUGUGGUAUUAUCAUAUUGAAUAGACAUACUUUAUUGAUUAAAUUUCUGUUUAUACAUUUCAGAAUGAUAUUUGCCUCUUUCUCCAGCCACAUGUCACUGUUGCUUCUUGCAAAGUUUGUGAUGUAUUUUAAUGGUCUGAGUUUUUCCUGAAGACUUUCAAUCCAACCUGUUCAUCAGAUUAUUUACACAAACUGAGCUAUAUGCCCGAGAGUGUUUACUGGCCUAUGUAUUGUUUGGACUAUGUUUCCAGUUUGUGAGGAAUGUACUACUGCCUGCUGGUGUGCUUGAGGGUCAUCCUAACCUGGUGUUAUCCAUAAAAUAGUAACAUUACUCUCUAUCCAAAUACCUACACUGCCUCUAAGACAAACCCUACUUACCAUUAUGCUUUAGUCUUGCACUAAACUUACUAUAGUUUACUAAGACCGUAUUUUUUAAAAUUGCCUAUGAGAAUGUUAUGUGAGAAAUUGUCAUCAUUCAGACUAAAGUCAAGAGAUAUCUAGUAUCUACUGAUUCUCUUCUGUCCACAAGACCUCCUACUCCAUCAUAAGCAGAAGUGAGGCUACUUUGGAGAGGUUUAUUCUCAACAAAUCCGUGUUGGCUCUUACUUACCUCGCUUUUAUCUUCCAAGUGCUUACAAAUAGUUUAGUUGAUUAUUGUUCCAGUACUUUUCCAAGAACUGAAGUUAAGAUGAUUCCUCUGCAAGUCUCUGACUCUUUCCCAUUUCUAAAGAUAGGCUCUGUAUUUGCCAUUUUCCAGGCUCUCAGGACUUCACCAUUCCCUUGUGUGUUCUCAAAGACAUUCCCUAGUAGCUUGGAAAUUAUUUCAGCCAGUUUUGUAAGUGUCCUCAGGUGAAUUAUAGCAGGGCCAGCUGAUUUGACAACAUCCUAGUUGGAUGAGUAUUCAUAUUUUUUUUUUUUUUCCUAAUCUAUCUUCAACUCUUUUUAUUACUGGUACUAGUUGUGAAUAAACUUCUGACCAUAAUUAAUCUUUGCAUGACAAAGCAGUGCCAUUGUGGAACCACAUUUGUAAGAUAUUUACAGAGUUUAUCUCCCCUGCAAAUGUUUCAGUAGAGAUAAGAAGACUUAAUCAUUUUAUAAAUAAAUAGAUCAAACAUAAUUCUGAUAUAAUUUACACCAGAAUAGAUCAAGACACAUGCUCUCCAGGUCAUUGUUGUUAAGGUGAGGGAAAGCAGAAAUAACUGCCAGAGAAAGGAAGCUAAUUUAAAUAGCAAUGUCUAGAGCUCUGAAUGUGUGGAUUUAGUAUAAUUAGUUUUCAUUACUGAUCAAAGUGUUAUUACUACUGUAUGCAGCUUUUCCAGUGACAAGCACUAUAAAAAGUCUGCAAGAAGUGUUAAGUAGAAAGACGAUAUAAUGAGCAGGCUUACUAAAGGGUCUCAUGGACUUCAUGAAGAAGUGCUUACUAUUUUUACAUUUAAAAAACGAAAAGUUAGUUAAAAAUAAAAGUUCCAAAAGAUGGACAAAUACUAAAGAUUAAGCCAACUUUUUCAGGGUCCAUAAAUUCUUGCAUAAAUCCUUCUAAUGGGAAAAAUCUUUAAAUCUUCAGCUUCUAGGAAAAGAAAGAAUGUUGAUUCUGGCACCAACUGUUAAGCAUCCACCUAUCAUUUUUCAUUAGCUACCAAAGAUGAAGCCAGUUAGACACAUAUGUUAAAAUUCUUCUUUGUGGAAAUGUAUAAAAAUCUGUCAAGUUUGUUUAGAGACUUUUGGCUUCACUACCUGUUAUUUAGCUAACCGAGAAGGCUGCCUUGAUUAGAACUUUGAUCUAGUCAUUUCACUUCACAGAUGUAGCAUUCACAACCUAACCAGAUGAAAAAAUGAAGACAUCUUUUGCAAUUCUUUUCCCACUGUAGCGCUGAAAUCUGCUUUUGGGAUUCCAUUUAGCUAAAGCUGACCUGUGUGAGAACAGGUCUGGCUGUUAGAUUGUAUCAGACAUUAGUCAGCCUUGGAGACACAUUUGGGGUGUUCUGACCUGCCCCAGCUGGAAAGAACUGCAUCAAAUGGUGGGGUGACAGGAGGGACAUACUGGGCAGUAGCAAUGGGGAGUUACAGCCACCAUUCUCCUUCCAUUUCUUGUGCAGGACAACACCAUUCCUUGUUCACCUGGCUGUUUAUUCCUUUCAUGUCAGUCACUGGAGGCUGCACCUGCUCUGCAAUCAUGAGUAUAGCCUAGGGGUACUCCUCUGGGAAGUAGGAGAUCUGAGGCUGAAUCUCUUGAGAGUCAGAGAGAAAUUAGGUCUGUGACCUAGGACUGAUAUGCUGUUUGCCCAGUUUAGCAUUCAUGUUUUCAGAAAUGGAUGUCCAUGUCUUUGCCUAGCAUUUCCAGUGGACUACCUUUAAACAUCUGCUUUCCCAAGGAGAGAAAUACAGACCUACUAUUCAAUUUGAAUCUCAUGAGUAGCCAGUUUUGUGGGUCUUGACCGGAGAGAUAUCUCCAGUCACCUGCUGUCUUGGACAGUUCAGACCAGUGCCUUGAAUUGCCAGUAAAAAUAGGCCAGCUAGGAUUUCUGCCAGUAAAACUAUUUCUUUUGUCAGAACAUGUUCAGGAACUCUGAAUUUCCAGGAUUCACAUUUCACAAGCAAUUCUUCUGUAUGGAAGGGGUGGGAAUUCCUGGGUUUCCAGCAUCUAUCUUCUGAUCCUAGGGCCAGGGCUCCCAAGGCUUCCAUGAAGAGAAACUGGCUAUGGGAAAGAAGAAGUUAGUUCCAGGGAAAUAUUUUUUAAAUUAAGUUUUCUUUCUGCUUUAUAGAGAAGACCUUUAAAAACAGUAAAAGCUAUUUGCAAGAGAAAAAAAUUCUCUUGAAGUUUUGAGAAAGACUAACUGGAAGUAAACUGAGAGAACAGGUAGGGGAAGAAUGGUAUGGGAUGACUGUCAGAUUAUCUGGCAUAUUCCACCUUCUGGUAGUUAGAGAUUUAUGUAAACCAUACAUGCGAAAUUCUCUGUGAUAGGUGUCCUCCUUUGAUUGAAUAGUUUUUGAAAAUAUCAGACUAAAUAAUUCAGCUGUUGCUGAAAAACAGAGAAAAAUAAUGAAGAAGAUAAAUAAAACAAAAAUCAAGGGAAAAACCUCUACCUUCUUUCCACAAGAACUUCAAAUUUCUUAGGGAAGUAGCCUCUCCAUUGGAAAGAACUUAAACAAACCAACAAACCUUUCAUUUUCAUUUCACCAGGAGAGAGAAUGUAAAAAAUCAUUCUGCGUUUGUCCAUGUUGGUUGUACAUCGCCCAUCUUUGCACCUCUUCCACCAUGUGUACUGAAUAAGGCAAGAUGAUUAAGGGUGGAAGAAGAUAAAAAUUAAAAAAGUUGAGCAGAGAAACAAAGACUUUGUCACUAACAAGGACCAGUAGGAGGCAAAUUUAAAGUCUUUCUUGGGAGUUGAAUGUCUAUCAGCUUUAAAAUUUUGUGUGCAGUGUUGUGUGUAAUAUAUGUAUGCAUCUUGUAUCAUCAAUGUAUCACAACUGUAAUAAUUGCAUCAUCUGCAGGCAAUGAAACAAUCUAUUCCCAACACUACCCACUAGAUACUGGAAAAUUCUACAAAGAAUCCAGCUCCGUUUUUGCACCAGCCUGUGUUUUGAGAGGGCUUAUUACAGCCAGGUAGCUGCAACCAGCUAGGUCAGUUUUGUCUCAGCUUCAGACCAAAAGUAAUUCCUGCAAUGCAGAGCAGGAGGGACACACAGGCAUGGCUAGACUGUUUAUUGAAUUAGUAGGGCCGAGUGUGACCAGCCAGAGCUAAGAAGCUCAGUUUGGCAAAACUGCCUAGGUAUCUGCACCAAGCUCCGCAGCAUUUUCAAGCAUGGUAGUGCACUAAAUUGGGUAAUGGUUCCACACCUAUAAAAACUGUUUUGUCCACCUUAAGUUUCCCUGCAACACGGAAUAUUCAGGAGCCCAACACUGGCAGCCAAGUGCUUCAGGACUCAGCUCUGGUGUCUUAGAAUUUAUUUGCUUGGGAUAUGGAUGCAUGAAGCUCAGUUUAAAAGCUUCUUCCAGAUUCAGCCUUCAUCUGGCCUGGCCAGCAUGUUCCACUACCAUUAUCCAGGACAACUCAAUCUCAUAACGUAUUGGAUAACACAGAAUCGACUAUAGAAACAUGAAAGUAAUUUCUUGCUCCAUGCUGCUACUUGAAGGAGAAAGGUAGAGCAGCAUUAGUUUAAUUUAUGGUGUUAUGAUCCAGAACUGGAAAGUACUUCUUAUGUCAUUGAUUCAAGUCCCCUGCUACUUCAGAAAGCACUUCAUCUAGUCAUGUUCAUAAAUUUAUCUUAAAAUUGGGUAGAUUUCUAGUCCAUACUACAGCCUCAGAAAAGUAAUUACAAAAUAGCAUUGCUUUGAUUAUUUGAAUUAUUAUGGUUUCCAGACCAAGUUCCUGGCUGGUUUACACAUGAUAGUUCUUGUGCCAACAUUGUUCUUUAACUUAGAUAUCCCUUUCCUUUCCAUGUUAUUUAAUCUCUUGAUGUAUUCAUGGUCAGUAAUUAAAAGUACAAAACAGGUCUUUUAUCUAGUUGUAUUUCUCUAAAGGUAUAUCAUACAUAUCCCAAUUCAAAGAAAAUCCAAGAUAAACUGAUACUUUGGCAUCAUUUUAAGAAAAUAAUCUCAUCAUCAAGCUGGGACAAAUAAGUGUAAUAUGUGGGCUGGCAAAUACCUGUUGUCUCCCUACCCAGGCAUAUUAUCCAUCCUACUCAUCGUUGCCUUGAACCAAAAAGCAAUAUUUCAGCGCUCCUGAACACUAGACAGUGCUGCCAGAGGAAAGGAUCCUGCAGAAGGCCCUGGAGCCUUUUUCUUCAUGGGAGGCAGAGGUGCAUUCAGGGCAGAGCCAAGGUCCAUUAGCACGUCAAAAUGGGGCAGCUGCGGCAACCUAUGUCUGCAUAAAAGCAAUAUACCUGUAAGAACAAGUAAAAUCUUGUGAACUGGAGGCUAUGACAUUGCCCUGUGUGUUGGUUUUUUUUACCCCCUUCCUUUUUCUUUUUUAUUUUUUUUGUGUGUGUUUAAUGUAAAGAUUGUAAAUGUCAUGAGAUACCUGGACUACACAGGCUCAACUGAGCCAAUGGGAAACUCACCAUUGGAUCAUUUCCAUAUACUUCAGCGAGUUUUGGAUCAGGCCCCAAAAUUACCUGCCAUGGCAGAGUGAUGCAGGGUCUUGGCUCAUUGGAUAGAGGAUAAUGGGUUGGUUUUUUUUUUUCUUUUUGGAAGAAUUGGCCAUCUGUUUUCAAGGGAGAAACCGUUUCACCUACCCCCCCCAAACCACAGUGUUCAUAUUAUUGAAAUGUUUUCUUAACUAUUAGAAACUCUCAUGGAAUCUGCAGUGAUUCAAGCACCUCCUUGGCGUGGCGUGGGGGGAGUUAUGUUUUCCUCAAAGCUCGACCCAAUACAUCAGUCAGUAGAGAAGUUGUUAAUUUUAAGUUGAUGGCUGGUGGGUGAGAAGCACAUAUGAUGUAGAUUUUCUUUGCCAUUUGGGGUUAAAACAAACAAGCCAAGAAAACUUUCAAGCAGACCAAGGGACCCUGGGAUAGAAGCCAUCUGCUGGUCAAGCUGUUCUAUCCUUUUGAAAAAUCUUUGCAAGUUUGCAAGCUUUGCAAGAGUUUAAAUCAAAAUCAGGGGAGAAAGCAGCCUCUGCCUUAAAACUGCUACAGUGUGAUCACUUAGCCAUGUGAUUCAUGUUAAAAUAGAGAUUCCGAGACUGCCCAAUUUGUUUAAAAAACAAGUGCUAAUCUUGGAGUUUUCUCAAUGAGUGUCCAACCUUUUCUUGUAAGGAUGCUAUUUACAUAAACUAAUUGCCUAUGUUGGAAAAAUGUGUUGAAAGAUGUAUUUUGUUUUCUUUUUUUCUUAUGACAAAGUCUUAUUCUGUAAGGGCUUUUUGAAAUCUUGACAUACAUGCAAGCAGAAUGUAUGGCUGCUCACAGCAAGAUCUGCAAAUGCUCUCCGGUUCCUACUUUUAUUUAAACUGGCAUCAGCAGAAGUACAUUAUAUUCUGCUUUACAAGCUAUUUUUUUUUUUAUUCCUUUUAGAAAUAUGGCCUUACUAUAUAAAAAUAUAUUAACUAUCUGAACUCAUAUUGUGUACAGAAGCUUGAAUAGUCUUUGCCACCGACACAGAAUGUCAGAAAUUAGAAACAGAUGGUAAUUACCAGGAACAAAGAUGAGAUUUCAGAGGAGAAUGGAUGCAUUGCAUUCCAGAGAACAUAGAGUGGUUUUUUCCAUGAAGAUUAAUGGCUAUUAUAAAGGCAUUGUGUUCAGUGAACUCACAUAUCACUGACUUACCUAGAAAGCGAAGCAACCCAUUUUUACAGGCUGACAUAAUUUAGAAGUUUGUGAAGGGGUCACUGUGACUGAUAGGAACCUCAGAUAAUACUAGAUACUUUCUUCCACAUUUUAUUUUGUAAUUUGUGGCUCCUGCCUUUAUCUAUUUCCUUGUUUUUCUCUGCCUCCAUUAAUCAUUCAGGUAUAUAGACUUUUUGCCUGUUGUGCUUGACACAAAUGAAAAUACAUUAUCUUAUCACAUUAUCAGAAAUCAUAAAUUCCAUACUUGCAAAUAAGACUGUUUUUAAUCAUAAGGAAGCAUUGCCAACUGUGUAUUUUCAACCAUUUGGCAAAUGACCAUCACUUAAAUCUAGUGUUUGACAUUUUGAUCUAAAAAUAUGUCUUUAAAAACAUACAAUAUCAAUUUCUUAUUUAUCUGUAUGGUCUUGCAGGGUAUAACAUCUCAGUAUAUAGGAACGAGGCUAUCAUUCUACAAAAGGUGGCAACAUGGUUUAAUAAAUAAUUUUCAGAAAACCCCUUUUUUUGUUGAAUUGUUAUUGCUCUAUUCAUCUCAUAAUAUUUGAAAAGGUCAUUUGCCAGUAGAAUGUUAUAUGAAGCAAUUGAAUUUUAUGACAGGACACCAUAGUAAGUGGAUGUGCUAAGAACUGAGAUAUUAAAUUAAAUUAUUUGAAGAAAGUAAUUUUCAGCUUUAGAUUUUGAAAUAUUUCAAACCUUUCACCAUUAGGUAGAGGAUGUUCUCUAGUGUCAAAAUUCAAUAUAACAAAUUUCAUAAAAGGUUAUUGUUCUGAAGUGCUCUGACCUAGAAUUCUGCACAUGUAAGUGGAAAGAAUAACAUAAUUCCAACCACAUCCCUGCCUUAUUCUGAUUCCAUGGCAUGAUAAUAUUGGCUUAAAAUGUCUUUCAAAUGGUUCACAUUGAGGCACUCAAGUGUAUUUCAUUGGCUUGCGUAGUAGAUCUCUAGAGGUCAGUCAUCUAAGACCUACUACUGCGAAGCAUUCAUUUUACUUCUAUGGCAGUACACAAUAAAAAGAGGAAGGCUAAAUGAACAAACAGUUCCUUCUCAAGAGAUAAAUAUAUUGCCAUCAUUCUGGGCUUCAGACAAGCUGAAAGCCACACUGGUAAACAUCUGAAAAACCAUGCCAACUUCUGCUCCAUCAGUAACACAGGAAAAUAUUUUCUCAAUGGAAAGAGACACCAAUGACAACAGGAAACCAUUUAUCCUAUUCAUUAAUGUGAGAAAACCCAGGGAGCUCCAGAGCCAAAAAAGGAAUCCAUAACAAAACUACUGAAACAGUCUAUUGAUAGCUAUGUUUCUUGAAAAUCUCCCUUUGGACUGAAAAUCCACUUACACAGACCACUCUUGAUUCUCACCCAUUCCUGCUCCCCUGGACAGUUAUUGAAACUAGGGCAGUAUACAAUCAAAUUUGCUUUGAAUUCCAAACCCUCCAUCUCAGAAGCCUCAAGAUCAGCAGGCCAUUAAAGCUGGGUUUGCUGGAGUGUGCUGAGGGGUCAGAGCACCACAUUGCCAGCAGCAUUCAGGGGGCACAGAUCCCAUCCUUCGCACCCCAGCUGAAGGUCCUAUGCAAAUGAGUCCUGUGCAGCCCUGGCUUCCUCAUCUGCUGCUCAUUGCCUCCCAAUGUGUUGGCCAUUGCCUCCCCUGGCACCCACCACCCAAACCCCCUUUGUCCUGUGAUGGGGACAGGGCAGAGUUGCCCUAGUAAAAGGAUUAGAGAAGUUAAGUGGUAAUGCUUUAAAGCACACUUAACAAAUACAAUUCCAUUGAUAAAAUGUUUUGCCAGGGAAGGUGAUUAGUUUACUUGUACUUCUUCUAAACACAUCUAAAAGUCAUAGAAUCUUUAGAACAACUGGAUUCAGGAACACUAUUAAUAGUUGUUCAGAGGAAAACGAGGUGAAAAAAGAAAUGCUCUUUCAAGAAGAAGAGUGAUUGUGUGCAUACUAGCCCUGUGUGUAUGCGAAAUACAAGAUGUGAUCUUGCACACAUACCUACAACUGCGUUAUUUAGAGAGAGAAGAAGUUGAUGCAGCGAGGAACAACCUUGGUUUUCAUCUACAUAUCCUUGCCAGAUACGUUAUAAUAUAUAUCCAGAAUUUUCAUAAUUUGUAUUUAAAUCCAUAACCAUUUACUAAAAUACAAUUUUGAUUUCCUAAUGUAUGGAGAUAUAGCGGAAGAUUUGGCGAGGAGAUUAGUUAAAGGUAAAUAUGCUUAAGUGACUUGCAUCUGUCUGUAGAAAAAGCACAUACAUCACACUAAUUGUUUUACUGACCUUGUGUGCUUGAUGAGUAGAACCUCUGUGUUAGAUAACAUAGGCCUGUGAGAAACUCUAGACACCUUAUGACUAUGUCUGAGAUUCCUGCUUUGUUGUGAGAAAGAGCAGGAGGCUGCACCUGCCUGAAGCCUUGAAAUACAGACAAGCUCAGCAGGCCCAGUGGUCUUCCAGCAGGGCUGAACUGACCAGCGCCUGCGUCCCCGCUGGUGUCACCUCUGCCUGGGAGCUUAGGUGUGGCUUCGGAGAUCCCCCAGUAGAGAGGAAACUAAAAUAAAACUUGCUCUGCAAUGCGUUUGUGGCCUCUGGCUCUUCUUGCGACGUGCCUGUGUAUGUGUACACACCUAUUAAACAAACAGGGACAUGUUUGUAUUAUGCAGAUAUCAUUAUCUUCUUUAUAGAUUUGAAAGCUCAGUAGCUUACACCCAAAUUUGCUAUGUAGGGCUGAAAAAUGUACUUUAAGAUCUGGCAUUCAUUACAAGUAUGUAGCAUACACUUGUAUAGUUACUGAAUUAGUCACAAAGCUAAACAUGUAUUAUAUAUAAAUGUUUUCAGUCAUGAAUGCAUAUUUAGAAAUGCCAAAGAUUACAUUAUGCUUCCCCAUCUUAUUGCUUAGUCCCUGUGGCAUUUUUUCGUUCAUAUUCACCAUAUGUUCAAUAACAGUCCUUUACAAAAUGUUGAUUUUUUUUUUCAUUUUAAUAUUAGAUAUUCUCUUCAGAAGGUGCCAUCUUGUGGUGCCUUUUUCAAGUGGAAAGGAACUUCUACAGAACGCUCUCACAUUUUACAGUGUUGAGCAAAAGCAUUUUCAAAAAUAUAGAAUUCACAGGCACUUUUGCUCAGUUUGAUUCAAAUGCUUUAUAAACGCAGAUGCUUAUAGACAUUUCUCAGCUAAAGGGUGUGUUUUUGACAAUAAAAUAAAGACUUCUCUCUGUGUAUCUUUGUAGAUUUCAGAUAUCUACAAGAUUUUGUUUCCUUUACUUGCAUUGUUUUCUUAGUUUACUUGAAGGUCAGUUAGCUUGGGAAAGGAUGUUUCUACUGCUGAGCAUUCACAUGAAUAAAAAAGAAUGGCCUCUUGGCCUCUUUAAAACCUUCUCAUUUAGCUGUGAUCCAAAAAAUUCCUUCCUGGAGGACUGCAGUGGGUUGACCCUGGCUGGGUUCCAGGUGCCCACAAAAGUUGCUCUGUCAUUCCCCUCAUCAGCUGGAUGGGGGAAAGAAAAUACAAUGAAAGGCUCAUAGGUCAAGAUAAGGACAGGAAGAGAACACUCAGUAGUUACCUUCACAGGCAAAAAAAACCUUGACUUGGGGAAAAAUUAAUUUAAUUAAUUUAAUUAAAUUAAUAUAUAACAAAUCAAAUCAGUGUAGGAUAAUGAGAAAAUAAAAAAUAAAUAUUAAAACACCUUCUUCCCACCCCUCCCUUCUUUCUGGGUUUAACUUUAUUCCUGAUUUUCUCUACCUCUUACCCCCCAGAAGCACAGGGGGACAGGGAAUGGGGGUUGUGGUCAGUUCAUUGCAAGUUGUCUCUGAUGCUCCCUCCUCUUCAGUGAAAGGACUUCUCACACUUCCCCUGCUGCAGCGUGGGGUCCCUUCCCAUGAGAAAAAGUCCUCCAUUAACUUUUCCAACAUGAGUCCAUGGGCUACAGUUCUUCACAAACUGCUCCAGCAUGGGUCCCUUCCAUGGAGUGCAGUCCUUCAGGAAUAGACUGCCCCAACAUGGGUCCCCCAUGGGUUCCUACCUAAAUGUGCCUGAGUGGAGCAUCCAUAAUUAUUAUGUGUUUUGUUUGAGCUGAAAAAAUAUUUCUGUAUCCAACUACUUCCCAGAAUCUGGACAUUCAGGAAUUCAAAGCUGGAUUCCAGUCUUCCACGUAGGAUUUUCCAAAACCCCAAGUCCCUUUCAGACUUCAAGGGGAUUCCACUUUUGAGCUAAGUUUUCUGGUCAAAUUUGUGUAUGCAAGGUAAAGGCCAAGACUAGAUGUAAAUGCUGUCUACUGUUUAAACACUCUGACAAGGCACUACUGCAUCCAGCAAAACAUUUUACCAUAUUAGGGGGUUGCCCUGUGGGAUAGGUUUGCUGUCAUCCCCUGGCCACUGUUUUCACAUUCCUGUAUACCCUCCAGUCUGCUGGUUGUCCUCUGAUCCUGGGAGUCAUGCCUUCUCCUGCUUUUGUCCAAACUGUGAGAAACAGCAAGCAAGCAAAAAAGAGAAUCAGGGGAAGCCAACACGUGAUUAAAAGCUAAAAGAAAAAGAAGAAAAAACAUCAAGCUCUUCUCAUAUGCUUUUUGACCUUGGUAUGUAGUGGUGCUGAGACUAUCCCAGUCUCACUCCAGCAGUGAUUUUAUUUCGGUGUACCCCAAGGCCUCCACAACUGUAUGAUGAAACCGAUAGACAACCAGUAUGCUUUAAUGUGUAGAUAGGCCUGGCAGAGGCAAACGUUUUAGACUUGGACUGUUUUCUGGGGGGGAUGUGCAGGAGCCAGACUGAUGUGAGAGCUUAACAUGGGCUCCCAGCCCAUCUGGCAUGGAAUGUGCUGCUUUGAUGUAGAGGUUGGGACAUGCUUUGGUGCAGAUACAGUCUCUGGGCCACCUGCAACAACCUGCUUUGAUAUGUGCUGUGAUAACUUUUGCAGCUCUCACAGGGAAGAAUUACCUAGGUGAAGGAAAUAGAUCUUGGGUAAUGCAGGUACUGUCUGUGCCGUGGAGGAGGUGUUUUGAUCUUGGCUGACAGAAUUAUUCUGUUCUGACGUUUCAAUUGUUUGGGCUUCAGAGUGUUGCAAUAAUCUGGUCCAUGUCAGACUGCUAACACAAACGGACAAAAACUAAGAGAUGGAAGGUAUCACUCAUAAUUAAAACGUUUGGAAAUCCACUUACACCGGCAGAUUAUGAUACUGUCAUCUCUUCUACUGAGUUGAUCAAGAAACUUCUGUAAUACAUUAACAGUUUUACAGAAAUACUAAUCAGUACAGCGCAGUUGCUAUGUAAACCCUUCAUGCCUUGGAUUCAGAUGAGGAUGAACUGAUGUUUUUUAUCCCCUGGUCUUCUAAAUUUUCACUAAUACUCUAUGUUGUGGAGGAUCUCAGUUUUUGCUGAACCUGUAAACAGGAAAGUUCCUGACCUCUGCCUCUCAGUUAACUGGCUGCACUAUCUCACAGGUCCUGCCCAGCAGUGAGAACAAAGAAAAUGUUGGUGACAAUAAGGUUCGUUGAUCUUGUAUAAACAUGGUAUGCAUAUGGCAGCUGUCAGCAGUGGGCACCAUCCUCCUCAAGAGGAAGGCAGGACCAACACUUAGGUUUCAGAAAUAAAGCCUAUACUUAAAUAUUUUUGGAUCAGUUCCUAACUUCUUCUUAUUGCAAGAACAGUCUAAUAAAAAGUCCUUCAGUCCUGAAGAGUAAAAGGAGCAAGAAGGGGUUUUUUUUUAAUUUAGUGCUGAACUUGCUUCCCAACUCAAAGGCAGCAGGCAGGCUUAGCAAGGAACAGCCUCAUUGAUUAUUUUAUUCUGUCUGACCCAUGGGAUUACAGAACUGGCUUUAAUAAGAUGGUAGUCUUUCUUAAGCAGUUUGCAUUGCAACUUCAGCACAUCCCUCGUGGCCAAAUUAAAAGAACCACAGCCAUGAAGUCAGCCCUUUCAUUAAUUUGUUGAAACAAGCAGUAAAGCCAAGCAUACUAAGCGAGCCAGUCUCCUAAGUUAUGUGAAUGGAGAUUCAUGCUCAACAGAAACAUGCAUUAAUAAUUUCGGAGGCUAUUUCUGGGGAUUUAAAAUAAUACCUUUUUAGUCUGAAGCUGCAGGUUUGUCCUGUAUUAGGAGCCCUCGGUUUCAUUACAAAUUCCCCUUUAAAACUAGCAAUGGAUUCUAGAAAUAAAGAAAAUUCCACCUGAAAAUAUAGUCGCUGUUUCUAGGUUUAAAUCCUUUAGAGAUUAUGGGUCUUUAACAGCAGACUAUUUUCUGGGUUCAAACAGCACAGAAGAUUACUAGUCCAGAAUAUGAUCAGACUCUCUCCUUUUGUUUCAAAGUAAGAUGUCUGCAUUCCCGAGAAUGCUUCCCACCCAGGAAGGCUGGGUUCAAGUAUGUGCCCUAACCACAUCUUACUUCUACAACAGAAUAAAGAGCUGGUCUCUGAAAGGCCCUGCUCCAUCUUUCUUCUUCACACCUCAGUUUCUGUGCCAAGGAAAUUAAAGUGAAUGGCUCAGAGAGGAUCAUGACGUAUUCAUAACAAGAACCUGAUCUGGGAAAGGAUUCCGAAGUGCAUGAUAGUGUGCAUCAGAAGACAAACAUAGAAUUUAAACUAAAUGCUGCCUGUGAGACCUGACUUGUCUACAGUCAGCAGUUUUAUCAGAAACAUGAACGGUGGUAUAGUCAUUGUUAGGAAGUGAGGUCAGUGGUUCAGGAAUCUAGACCACAUAUAUUGCUGUGCUUGUUUGUUUGGCUUUACCUACCUCUUGGUGUUUUUUCUUUUUGGUUGGUUGGUUGGUUGGUUUUUUUGUUUGGUUGGGAUGGGUUGGGUUGGGUUGGGUUGAGUUUUUUUUGUUAUUGUUGUUGUUUGUUUGUUUGUGGAUUUUUGUGUGUGUGUGGUUUGGUUUUGUUUUUGUUUUGGUUUUAUUUGUUAACAAAUUCACAGGCAUCACUCAGUAGAGAGUCAGACACAUUUGUUCUUUUGUUCUUCAUUGAUUUAAUCAAAACACGAGCAGUUGACAUAACUUGUGUUAUUGGUCCUCAUCCAUAAUCUUGCAGUGCUAAGCAGAAAUUAAUGUCUGGCGUUAUUGUCUUUCCUAGUCAAGGUUUUAGCCUUUCAAUUCCAUUUUCAAAAGCUAAGCCUAAAUGAACGUGUUUCUUGUGAGGAAUUACAUGCAGACAUAUUCAAAGUUCAUAAUCCAGACCAGUCUCAGUUUAUAUUACCUAUUUGAUUUGGUGACAUUCUAGCUCAUCUCAUAUUGUAACCUUUCAUAAUUUCCAAAAUUAUUAGUAAAACCUUGUGUGGUCUCUAUGUCACAUUCACUUGCCUACAAGUUACAUAGUUCAUUCUUUUGUAUUGCAUUAAGAAGUUACACAACAGGUAGUUAUACUACUAUUUCUACUAAUUUUGCUUGUAAAAAUAAUACAUCACAGCUUGCAGGAAGAUAAACAGAUGCAUUUUAAGCUUGUAUUCAACUUCAAUUUGCAAGUAAAGUGGGAAGACUAGGAACAUGAAAGGACUUGGUUAGAUUUAGUGUACCUUAUACAAGACAGUUCAUUCCUUGAUCAUUUAUGUUGAUUCGUGACAGUGAGAAGCUACACUUGUACACACAGAAAUAUACAGAGAAGGACAGUUGCUAGCGUGUUCCAUUGAGCUGGCUCACCCAUUUACUUCAGCUAUGCAAGUGCUUCUUCAAGGAAACAGCUGGGCAUACUCACACACACAAACAGAAUAUUGAAAUAGCAGCAAGAACUUUAGUUAAAGUAAUCUUUGACCCUCAGAUUUAACACAAUCAUCACUAAACAAGUCAUGGCAUUUCAGGGACCUGCUGACAGAUAGCAUUUUUAUUUUUCCUGCUGAACUUUGCUUUCAUUGCUAUGCUUAAAGAUGAAAGCAGCAUCAGGGCCUGAAGUUUUAACUAUGAUACACUCAAGAUGCUGUUUGGGAACCUGUAGUCUAACCAGACAGACUUUAUUCCAGGGUUUUGUUAAAGUAAUGACAUAACUUCUCUUAUGACUGACUUCAUAUUUUACUGUGUGUCUUCUUUACUGGGAAUCCUAAUAUUUCAUUCUAAUAUUCAUUAAUGAACCACAUCAUAGCACUUCUAGAACAAUUUAUGUUACGAGGUUUUGUUUUAAUGUGUUUCUUGUUGGCAGCUACAGAUCUUUCAGCAUUUCUACUUACUUUCCAAACUAUGGUUUUCUAGACCUAAAUGUUAUCUUGAAGUGUAAAUUUAUUUCUUUCUGCCACAAGCUGAAUUCGUUUUAGGUAUACAAUAGGUACAUUUUUUCAAAAUAAAAUCUGCACAUAAACCACAAAAAUAGUUAUUUUAAGCUGGAAUGAAUUAUAAGCAAACAAGCAUUUGAGAAAUCACCUUUAACUAUAUGCUCAAAACUUACUGGAAAGGAUUUGGAUUCUUAGCAGACAUAAAUACCUUUAAGGGCACCAAAAGGAACUUAAAACUUUCUGUAAGAUAUAUUGACUUUCUUUUUUGCUCCAAACUGAAUGUUCCUUUUUGUAUGUUUUUUCAAAACUCAUAUCUGAUUCCAUUUCUUUUUAGGUGUCCCUAAGCUAUAAUGAAUCUUUUAAAAUUCUAUUUUAACAUCCUGCUAAACACUCAGUGUUGAUUAUACUUAUGUCAAAAAUUGUAGAUAUUUGAAAUGGAGAAGGUCAUGUACUUCAUCCUCCUCUCCAAGUUAAAUUGUUCUCUACACUAAAUCUCUUAACACUUUAUUCGUCUUAGUUUAAAAUUGCUGAAUAAAGUUUUCAGCACUUCCUCUGGGCAACAGAGUGCUGAAAGUAAUACAAAAAUAUCCAAUCUAAUCUUUGCUGUUGU